rnacentral:misc_RNA from 1 species
GAGAAAUUUAAAUUUCUCAAAAAAUAUACUUAUUAUGUUAAAUUUUGAAAAUAAACUUUAGAUAUAGAAAUUAAUUUGGAAAACAAACUUUAGGUAUAAUAAUCAAGCAUGGUUCAUUUUCUUACGCAACUCUCCCUUUCCCUUUUUUCGCCUUCCUCUUAUUUUUCUUGGCUUUCUCCUUGAUACUUUUCUUCUCCAUUUCUUGGCUCGCCUCUUCAUUUUCAAUCACUUGUUUAUCUUCCUUGGCCUGGGAUUCCGAUUCUUUGCAUUUCAUUUCUUUUUUCCUCAGAAGAAAUCCAACAAGUCCAUUUAGCGUAGCAUCGACAUUAACAUCAUCCCCUUUCAUGAGCUCCUCUGCAAUUUCAGCUGGAGUCACUUCCACUUC